rnacentral:rRNA from 1 species
AUUGAACGCUGGCGGAAGGCCUAACACAUGCAAGUCGAACGAGUGGCGGACGGGUGAGUACUGUCUGGGAAACUGCCCGAUGGAGGGGGAUAACUACUGGAAACGGUAGCUAAUACCGCAUACCAUCGGAUGUGCCCAGGUGGGAUUAGCUCGUAGGUGGGGUAACGGCUCACCUAGGCGACGAUCUCUAGCUGGUCCAUGAGGAUGACCAGCAACACUGGAACUGAGACACGGUCCAGACUCCUACGGGAGGCAGCAGUGGGGAAUAUUGCACAAUGGGCGCAAGCCUGAUGCAGCCAUGCCGCGUGUAUGAAGAAGGCCUUCGGGUUGUAAAGUACUUUCAGCGAGGAGGCGUUACUCGCAGAAGAAGCACCGGCUAACUCCGUGCCAGCAGCCGCGGUAAUUC